rnacentral:lncRNA from 1 species
AGUUUGCACAGGAGGAUGUUGUGGUUGCAUUGCCUGAGGAAGCUGUGGGCUAGAUUGCUGUGGUUGCACUGGUGGAGGAUACUGUUGAGCAUUGGAUUGGGGCUGCUGUACCGGUUGCGGUGAAAACUGCUGCACAUUGGAUAGCUGGGGCUUCUGUGCGGGUGGAGGAAAUGGUUGUGAGAAAGUCUGUUGUGUCUGGGCCACUGGUGCUGGAGUUGGCUGGGGGGACUGCUGGUGCCACUGCUGCUGGUAAGGAGGGUAAGGCUGUGGCUGUGUUUGAUUUCCAGUCUG